rnacentral:rRNA from 1 species
CCGCUAGGAUCGUUUACUUUGAGGAAAUUAGAGUGUUCAAAGCAGGCGUAACUCGCCUCCGAAUACGUUAGCAUGGGAUAAUGGAAUACGACUUCGGUCUUGUUUCGUUGGUUUCGCUUGGCUGAAGUAAUGAUUGAUAGGGACAGUUGGGGGCAUUAGUAUUUAGUUGUCAGAGGUGAAAUUCUAGGAUUUACUAAAGACUGACCAAUGCGAAAGCAUUUGCCAAGGAUGUUUUCAUUAAUCAAGAACGAAAGUAGGGGGAUCGAAGACGAUCAGAUACCGUCGUAGUCUCUACCGUAAACUAUGCCGACCAGGGAUCCGGAGAGUUUGCAUGGAUGACUCCCCGGGCACCUUGUGAGAA